rnacentral:rRNA from 1 species
AUUGAACGCUGGCGGCAGGCCUAACACAUGCAAGUCGAGCGAGCGGCGGACGGGUGAGUAAUGUAUGGGGACUGCCCGAUAGAGGGGGCUAACUACUGGAAACGGUGGCUAAUACCGCAUACUAUCGGAUAACCCAUAUGGGAUUAGCUAGUAGGUGGGGUAAAGGCUCACCUAGGCGACGAUCUCUAGCUGGUCUGAGAGGAUGAUCAGCCACACUGGGACUGAGACACGUCCCAGACUCCUACGGAGGCAGCAGUGGGGAAUAUUGCACACUGGGCUAUAGCCUGAUGGAGCCAUGCCGCGUGUAUGAAGAAGGCCUUAGGGUUGUAAAGUACGUUCAGCGGGGAGGCGUUACCUGCAGCGGAAGCACAGGCUAACUCCGUGCCAGCAGCCGCGGUAAUAC